CGGCGUCUGAUGAGAGAAGCAACAGAGAGGAACCUCAGAAUUAAACUGAUUGGUCUGGAGGGGAAGCUUCUCUUCAGACCUUGAUGUGGAUGAAAUCUAUAUUUUAACUACACUCAAAACAGGGCAGAAAUGUAGCUGACCGGAACCUCCAACAUCUCAGCCCUUUCCUUCAAAUUGCAAAGACAACUUUAAUAUUCGAGUUGCGGGGGAGAUGCUCCUCAGGCAGUGGGGGAUCAUCUGCUGCCUCACGGUCAGGUGGGAAGGGGAGACCUCAAAGACAGCGAGGGAUGGAAACAAGUCCUUGUUUGGGGCAACAAGCGGACUGCCCCUCAGCCUGUCCAACCUUCCCAGGUGCCCUUACAUAACAGUUCCUCUUGCUGUGAGUCAGGAUGGUCCACACUCUGCUCUUUCACCAGUCUACCCUUGGCCUAUGGAUCUACCUGUAGUUAUUAAUUCCACAUGGACUUACAGCAUUCAUUAAGCUACUAAAUCCUAAAUGUGGGUUCAGACCCGUGUUUUUCCUAUUUCUUCAGAGACUCC
ensembl:lncRNA